UCACAGAACUUCAAAAUAAAACCAAAAGUCUACAAGCAAGGAAUGAUGAACUAACUCGCGGAAACUGCGCAAUAAAGAAAGAAAUCGGCGAACUAUACGAAGUUAUAUGCUUUAAUUAAAACAGUAUUCUCGCAGACCGAAUUUUGAACAGUAGCUUAAGAAUCUGAAAAUGAAAAUAUCCCAGCUUGAUACUCUUUUCAAUACCCAGACAGUCGAGAAUUUAAUCAUAGCCCACUGAGUUCCCAGUUUCAAUUAAGAAAAACCAAAAUCUAUCGUUGUUUAAGUAAAAUGCAAAACAAUACGAGACGAACUAAACGAGAUGAACUAAAAUAUCAUAAACUAACAGCAUCUGAAGUUGAACACUGCAACGCCCAUUUAUUUCAAUAAGCACUCCUGAUUUUAACGCUUUGUUUUGUUACUCGCGAACAACUAAAGUUGAAAAGGGAUUGAAGUUCUGUUAGAUUCGAGACGGGAAAAUAUUUAUACGAAAAGAUGAAUUAUCCAAAAUUUACAGUGUAAAGACAAGAAAGUAACAUCAACAAUAUUUCAUUCAUCUAAUGAAAUAUCUUAAUUUUCUCCGGACUGCCAAAUUAUUGAGACAUUGAAAACUUGGAUGAUUUAAGUCAUUUUCGAACGUCAACCGGAAACUUGCUUCAACUAUUUUAGUAUCCGAUUGUAAUUGUUGCUACAAUUUCUCCAACUAUCAAUCAUCUAAAAAAGUUACUGAAAUAUUAUUCAUUGAAAGGAAAGAUACAGAAAUAUUAUUCAUCACAUCCGACAAGAAGAAACUUGACUCGUGUAAGUCUGAGGAAUCAUUUUUCAUUCUACAUUUCAAGAAAACAUUAAAGAACAUGUUUCUGUAA